GAACGGGACCGAGCGGCGCGGGUGGCGGCCGGGUAGGCGGUGAGUGGCGGGGGGCUGCGGAGCGCGCGCGGGGAGCCGGAGGCGCGCGGGAUGGCGCAAUCUCGGGGGCUGCAGGGGACCCAGUAGGGUCCACUGUGCGCGCUGGGGUAUGCCUGAGGCGGGUUACGUACGCCCGGGACCUCGUGAGUCCGCAGCUCUAGACUGGGGCUAGGGAGGCCUCAGCGUGGAACUGAUCUUGUGGAACAGAUGUGAAAGGGGAGCAUCACGCACCGUGCCACGCGUCCCUAGCCACCGCGUGACGAAACAUGCUGGGUGCAGGCGGCCAAGAUGGCUGCCAGGGGACUGUCUCCACGAGGAUGGGCGCGCGCAAUUGCCAGGUGACCAGGUGGCUCUUAGUAGCUGGGACCCGGAGGUCCGCGUGGAGAUCACUUGGUGGCCGACCUCCAGCUCUUAAUCUCUUCAAGGGACCGAAGUGUCCCAGGUAGAACCGUGGGACCCUCACCCUCAGCUCCCACAUCGUGUUCCUGCUGAUCAUCUCAGGUUCAACCGCCUCCAGAAUGACAAUGACCACACUAAGGAUCUGGGACGAUGUCUGGGGAAGUGCCACCCAACAUUAACAUCAAGGAGCCUCGAUGGGACCAGAGCACGUUCAUUGGCCGAGCCAGUCACUUCUUCACGGUUACUGAUCCCAGAAAUAUCCUUUUAACGAACGAACAGCUAGAGAAUGCGAGGAAAGUGGUGCAUGACUACAGGCAAGGAAUCGUUCCUGCCGGCCUCACGGAAAAUGAGCUAUGGAGAGCGAAGUACGCGUACGACUCGGCCUUCCAUCCUGACACCGGUGAAAAGAUGACUCUGAUAGGAAGAAUGUCAGCUCAGGUCCCGAUGAACAUGACCAUCACAGGCUGCAUGAUGACCUUCUACCGGACCACACCGGCUGUGCUUUUCUGGCAGUGGAUAAACCAGUCCUUCAAUGCCGUGGUCAACUACACCAACAGAAGCGGUGACGCUCCCCUCACUGUGAAUGAGCUGGGAACGGCUUAUGUUUCUGCAACCACUGGCGCUGUGGCAACGGCCCUAGGACUCAAUGCCUUAACCAAGCGUGUCUCCCCACUGAUAGGACGUUUUGUUCCCUUCGCUGCUGUAGCUGCUGCUAACUGCAUUAACAUCCCACUGAUGAGACAAAGGGAGCUGAAGGUUGGUAUUCCUGUCACUGAUGAAAAUGGCACUCGCUUGGGAGAAUCGACCAACGCAGCAAAGCAAGCCAUCACGCAGGUGGUCAUCUCCAGGAUCCUCAUGGCAGCCCCGGGCAUGGCCAUCCCUCCGUUUAUCAUGAACACCUUGGAAAAGAAAGCCUUUUUAAAGCUUCCAUGCUUCCUUGACAUCUAAGGGAACAGAGAAACACAACGCUUCACUGCCUGAAGGCACACAAUGCCCCAGGAGCAUCGGACUCUAACCUGAAAACAUAUGAGGUUCCCGUGGAUGAGUGCGCCAAUCCAAGUCACGUUGGUUGGCUUUUGUUUGGUAUUCGCCACCCCCCUGUGCUGUGCUCUGUUUCCUCAGAAGAGUUCCAUGUCUGUGACAAGCUUGGAGGAUGAGUUGCAAGCCAGCAUCCAAAGGACUCAUCCUGAAAUACGGCGUGUGUACUUUAACAAGGGCCUGUGAAGCCAAGAUCAAGUGCUGGAGGCCGGAGCCAUCUGUGAGCCUCCCUAAGCCACAGCAGUGAGGAGAUUUGUGUGCUGGGGCACUCAAAAGCCUCUACAAGAUCUUCGUUAAGAGUCAAGCUGCCGGUCAGGAGUCUGACAUUUGAAUCGUGUUGUGAUUUACAAAAAAAAAAAAAAAAAACCCUUCUGGUAGAUUUUAAUGAUGCCAUUUUUCCAAAGCCCCCACUGUAAGGUUUCAAAAGCACUGGUAGGCAUAGCAUAGAUGUUCCAGUUACACACUCAGUAAACACUGGUUAUCAGUCAUUGGAAAGGUUACCUGUGCAACCACCAGAUUCCAUUUCUACUUCUCUUCCCCAGAGGUCUCAGCAAUGAAUCGGGAAGACACGAAAGGUCUAAGACUAAAUAUCCAAAUUAUAAAUACUAAGGAAACUUUGUUUCCAGUUUGGCAAUGAUCCAGUCUAAAGUAGAACCUCAAUUUAAAAGAUUGAGGUUCAGAGCAUCAACACUCCAUACACCUCCCCAAGUCAGCCAUAGACUGUUUUUUUUUUCAGAAGUGAAACCAUAGUCCCUAUAUGCCUCUUUUUUCCCCCUCUUUUUUUUUCCAUCCUUAUAGAAUUCUCCCUGCUUUCAGGAAGAUACAAAGAAACCACAUGAACUAGACCAGCAUCUGUGAACAUUGUGCUAUGUUCCACCUUGUUUGAAAACUGUGAAACAGUGUGGCAUGCCAACAUCUCUAUAGUGAUUUUUACACGUGAUGUAUUCGGUGUAGCUGAGGUCACUUUGGAAGUCUGUGGCUGUUCCAUGUCCUAGGCAAGCCACUUGUUAACCCUGAGUGACAAUCUUUAUAAAUCAUUGUUAAUUCAGAGAUUUGUACGUGAGAAAACAACAACAAAAUUAGAGACUAUCUAGUUUCUGUAGGUUAUUUUUCCCAAUAAUGUUUCCAGAUCGAAUUUCCUCAUAGAGAAAAAAAAAAAGGUGUGCCUUGUGUCUGUGCUUCUCCGCUCUCUGAAAGGAUGGAUGGAUCUGAAGUUCUCAGCCCUCACCCCACACUGCUGGAAUCUUCUGUAGAGCUGCCUGCCAAGCCACCUGAAACACAGUGGCUCCCUGUGACACUCAGGCCUCAGAUGAGCCUCGCUUGCCUUCACUGCUUCUGUUUUAAACAGUAGUAAAAAACUGGCGUUCAAGGCAGAGUCCACAGGUGCUUAAAGGACACUUUCAGAAGAAGCUGAAGGCCUUGAGGUCUGCCCACCCAGCUGAUCUCGGAGUCCUGGCCCCAGUCCAUGUGUAGCUCUAAGAACAUGAAGUAGCUGGUUGCAAGAUGGACCAACUCACCAAGUGUCAGCCCAGGUAGUGAGAAACUUGCAGUAGACAUGGAGCUGGGCUCUUUUAAAUUUGUUUUGUGAAGUUUCAGCCUCUUAAUGCUUUUGUAUAGGAAUACUCACUGUGUGGUUUAAUCAUGAUUUAUUAAAAAAAAAAAAAAAAGAACAAAUGAACGAAAAUUGGCAAUCUUUGCUGAUCUUCUAAAAAUACUUUUUUUUUCCUGAAGAAAAAAAAAGCCACACGAAGUGCAAUAGGGUUGUGCGGCGACUCAUUGAUAUUUCUCUGAUGUGAGAUAGAGCUGUGUGUGUGUGACUGGCUAGCAGCUAUCAGUAUUAGCGAGGUGUCUUGCCGAUAUCAGAGUCAGUGUGUCAUUUCAGUUUAACUGGAUGAACUGUCAAAUAAAGAAAUGCAGAAUGAAAACAAA